rnacentral:rRNA from 1 species
UGAUCCUGGCUCAGAUUGAACGCUGGCGGCAGGCUUAACACAUGCAAGUCGAGCGGAGAGAGGUAGCUUGCUACUGAUCUUAGCGGCGGACGGGUGAGUAAUACUUAGGAAUCCGGCUAUUAGUGGGGGACAACAUUUCGAAAGGGAUGCUAAUACCGCAUACGUCCUACGGGAGAAAGCAGGGGAUCUUCGGACCUUGCGCUAAUAGAUGAGCCUAAGUCGGAUUAGCUAGUUGGUGGGGUAAAGGCCUACCAAGGCGACGAUCUGUAGCGGGUCUGAGAGGAUGAUCCGCCACACUGGGACUGAGACACGGCCCAGACUCCUACGGGAGGCAGCAGUGGGGAAUAUUGGACAAUGGGGGGGACCCUGAUCCAGCCAUGCCGCGUGUGUGAAGAAGGCCUUAUGGUUGUAAAGCACUUUAAGCGAGGAGGAGGGUACUGGUAUUAAUACUACCAGGUACUGGACGUUACUCGCAGAAUAAGCACCGGCUAACUCUGUGCCAGCAGCCGCGGUAAUACAGAGGGUGCGAGCGUUAAUCGGAUUUACUGGGCGUA